UCUCUGCCGAAUAUAGUCCGGCCAAGUAUUCCGGCCUUUCGAGCCGGAGACCCGGGUUCGAAUCCCGGCCGGAGCACCA
rnacentral:tRNA from 1 species